rnacentral:rRNA from 1 species
UACGGAGGGUGCAAGCGUUAUCCGGAUUCACUGGGUUUAAAGGGUGCGUAGGCGGAUAUGUAAGUCCGUGGUGAAAUCUCUGGGCUUAACCCGGAAACUGCCAUGGAUACUAUGUGUCUUGAAUGUUGUUGAGGUGAGCGGAAUAUGUCAUGUAGCGGUGAAAUGCUUAGAUAUGACAUAGAACACCAAUUGCGAAGGCAGCUCACUAAGCAAAUAGUGACGCUGAGGCACGAAAGCGUGGGGAUCAAACAGG